AAUGCAGUGAUAGUGUCUUAUUGCCGGUUCUUGGUUUCUGAUUCCUGAUUUCUGGUUCCUGGUUCCUGGUCAGCUCUCUUCUGGAAAUCACGAGACAACAAAUUGGUAAUCGGGAUGUUCCAGAAGAAUCGGUGAUUUUAUACAAAGUCUAAUAAGACUUUUUAAAAUAGAAGUGAGUGUAGUAGAUAAUAAAAUUCGCGUAAAAUUAAUAAAACAAUAGUGCCUAUUAAAUAAAAUUGCAUAAUUUCGCGUAAAACAAAGUGUGUGUGAGGCGACGAUUUGACUUUGUGCAAUUUUGCGAAGAAAUGCUGACAUCCAUGCAGCCUGAGGGAAAGAACAGCCUGGAAUCGAAUGAAUUACGCCGAUACUAUCACUAUGCAGAAAAUUCGACCAUGGCAAAUUUACAAAUGCAACUUUUGGCUCAACAAUAUGGAGCUUUUAACAGGUACCUACUACAUUGUUGCAAGAUAAUAUUGAGCUUUAAAUAAGAAAAGAAAAUAAUGAUUGUUCUAAAAUAGAAUGCAACGAGAAAUGAUGUCUAGACCACAAAAAUUGUAAUAUUUUAUGAAUACAUUAUCAGGACAAUUUACAUCAAGAUGCAAAAUGAAUGUGUUGUACAAAAUCAAAUUAAAAAAUUGCAAAGUGGAAGAAGAAGUCCAUAACAUCAGUGAAACUUUAAUUAGUUAAGCCAGAUAAUAUUAUGAUGCCAAAAAGGAGUGUUUUUAAUAAACAAUAUUUUUGAUUAUUAGGAUUUUAAGAAAAAAUGGAUAACGACUAUGCACUCUACAGAAUGGACAAAAAAUA